GAGUUUGAUCAUGGCUCAGAUUGAACGCUGGCGGCAUGCCUUACACAUGCAAGUCGAACGGCAGCAUGAUCUAGCUUGCUAGAUUGAUGGCGAGUGGCGAACGGGUGAGUAAUACAUCGGAACGUGCCCUGUAGUGGGGGAUAACUAGUCGAAAGAUUAGCUAAUACCGCAUACGACCUGAGGGUGAAAGUGGGGGACCGCAAGGCCUCAUGCUAUAGGAGCGGCCGAUGUCUGAUUAGCUAGUUGGUGGGGUAAAGGCCCACCAAGGCGACGAUCAGUAGCUGGUCUGAGAGGACGAUCAGCCACACUGGGACUGAGACACGGCCCAGACUCCUACGGGAGGCAGCAGUGGGGAAUUUUGGACAAUGGGGGCAACCCUGAUCCAGCAAUGCCGCGUGUGUGAAGAAGGCCUUCGGGUUGUAAAGCACUUUUGUCCGGAAAGAAAUCGCACUUACUAAUAUUAGGUGUGGAUGACGGUACCGGAAGAAUAAGGACCGGCUAACUACGUGCCAGCAGCCGCGGUAAUACGUAGGGUCCAAGCGUUAAUCGGAAUUACUGGGCGUAAAGCGUGCGCAGGCGGUUGUGCAAGACCGAUGUGAAAUCCCCGGGCUUAACCUGGGAAUUGCAUUGGUGACUGCACGGCUAGAGUGUGUCAGAGGGGGGUAGAAUUCCACGUGUAGCAGUGAAAUGCGUAGAGAUGUGGAGGAAUACCGAUGGCGAAGGCAGCCCCCUGGGAUAACACUGACGCUCAUGCACGAAAGCGUGGGGAGCAAACAGGAUUAGAUACCCUGGUAGUCCACGCCCUAAACGAUGUCAACUAGUUGUUGGGGAUUCAUUUCCUUAGUAACGUAGCUAACGCGUGAAGUUGACCGCCUGGGGAGUACGGUCGCAAGAUUAAAACUCAAAGGAAUUGACGGGGACCCGCACAAGCGGUGGAUGAUGUGGAUUAAUUCGAUGCAACGCGAAAAACCUUACCUACCCUUGACAUGCCACUAACGAAGCAGAGAUGCAUUAGGUGCUCGAAAGAGAAAGUGGACACAGGUGCUGCAUGGCUGUCGUCAGCUCGUGUCGUGAGAUGUUGGGUUAAGUCCCGCAACGAGCGCAACCCUUGUCCCUAGUUGCUACGAAAGGGCACUCUAGAGAGACUGCCGGUGACAAGCCGGAGGAAGGUGGGGAUGACGUCAAGUCCUCAUGGCCCUUAUGGGUAGGGCUUCACACGUCAUACAAUGGUGCAUACAGAGGGUUGCCAAGCCGCGAGGUGGAGCUAAUCCCAGAAAAUGCAUCGUAGUCCGGAUCGUAGUCUGCAACUCGACUACGUGAAGCUGGAAUCGCUAGUAAUCGCGGAUCAGCAUGCCGCGGUGAAUACGU
rnacentral:rRNA from 1 species